rnacentral:rRNA from 1 species
GGGCCCGCACAAGCGGUGGAGCAUGUGGUUUAAUUCGAUGCAACGCGAAGAACCUUACCAAGGCUUGACAUACUACAAAUUUUUCUGAGAAGAAAAAGUGCCUUCGGGAAUGUAGAUACAGGUGGUGCAUGGCUGUCGUCAGCUCGUGUCGUGAGAUGUUGGGUUAAGUCCCGCAACGAGCGCAACCCUUGUUUUUAGUUGCCAAUUUAUUGGGUUUUCUAGAAAGACUGCCGGUGACAAACCGGAGGAAGGUGAGGAUGACGUCAAGUCAGCAUGCCCCUUAUGCCUUGGGCUACACACGUGCUACAAUGGCUAGGACAAAGAGUUGCGAGCUCGCGAGAGUCAGCUAAUCUCAUAAACUUAGCCUAAGUUCGGAUUGUAGGCUGCAACUCGCCUACAUGAAGUCGGAAUCGCUAGUAAUCG